GACGAGCGCUGGCGGCGUGCCUAAUACAUGCAAGUUGAGCGCUGAAGGUUGGUACUUGUACCAACUGGAUGAGCAGCGAACGGGUGAGUAACGCGUGGGGAAUCUGCCUUUGAGCGGGGGACAACAUUUGGAAACGAAUGCUAAUACCGCAUAAAAACUUUAAACACAAGUUUUAAGUUUGAAAGAUGCAAUUACAUCACUCAAAGAUGAUCCCGCGUUGUAUUAGCUAGUUGGUGAGGUAAAGGCUCACCAAGGCGAUGAUACAUAGCCGACCUGAGAGGGUGAUCGGCCACAUUGGGACUGAGACACGGCCCAAACUCCUACGGGAGGCAGCAGUAGGGAAUCUUCGGCAAUGGACGAAAGUCUGACCGAGCAACGCCGCGUGAGUGAAGAAGGUUUUCGGAUCGUAAAACUCUGUUGGUAGAGAAGAACGUUGGUGAGAGUGGAAAGCUCAUCAAGUGACGGUAACUACCCAGAAAGGGACGGCUAACUACGUG
rnacentral:rRNA from 1 species